AGUGAACGCUGGCGGUAGGCCUAACACAUGCAAGUCGAACGGCAGCACAGGAGAGCUUGCUCUCUGGGUGGCGAGUGGCGGACGGGUGAGGAAUACAUCGGAAUCUACUCUGUCGUGGGGGAUAACGUAGGGAAACUUACGCUAAUACCGCAUACGACCUACGGGUGAAAGCAGGGGACCUUCGGGCCUUGCGCGAUUGAAUGAGCCGAUGUCAGAUUAGCUAGUUGGCGGGGUAAAGGCCCACCGAGGCGACGAUCCGUAGCUGGUCUGAGAGGAUGAUCAGCCACACUGGAACGGAGACACGGUCCAGACUCCGACGGGAGGCAGCAGUGGGGAAUAUUGGACAAUGGGCGCAAGCCUGAUCCAGCCAUACCGCGUGGGUGAAGAAGGCCUUCGGGUUGUAAAGCCCUUUUGUUGGGAAAGAAAUCCAGCUGGCUAAUACCCGGUUGGGAUGACGGUACCCAAAGAAUAAGCACCGGCUAACUUCGUGCCAGCAGCCGCCGUAA
rnacentral:rRNA from 1 species